AUAUAGAGAGAAGCUAGCUUCUCUUGAGAGCGGCGGACGGGUGAGUAAUGCCUAGGAAUCUGCCUGGUAGUGGGGGAUAACGUUCGGAAACNGACGCUAAUACCGCAUACGUCCUACGGGAGAAAGCAGGGGACCUUCGGGCCUUGNGCUAUCAGAUGAGCCUAGGUCGGAUUAGCUAGUUGGUGGGGUAAUGGCUCACCAAGGCGACGAUCCGUAACUGGUCUGAGAGGAUGAUCAGUCACACUGGAACUGAGACACGGUCCAGACUCCUACGGGAGGCAGCAGUGGGGAAUAUUGGACAAUGGGCGAAAGCCUGAUCCAGCCAUGCCGCGUGUGUGAAGAAGGUCUUCGGAUUGUAAAGCACUUUAAGUUGGGAGGAAGGGCAGUUACCUAAUACGUGAUUGUUUUGACGUUACCGACAGAAUAAGCACCGGCUAACUCUGUGCCAGCAGCCGCGGUAAUACAGAGGGUGCAAGCGUUAAUCGGAAUUACUGGGCGUAAAGCGCGCGUAGGUGGUUUGUUAAGUUGGAUGUGAAAUCCCCGGGCUCAACCUGGGAACUGCAUUCAAAACUGACUGACUAGAGUAUGGUAGAGGGUGGUGGAAUUUCCUGUGUAGC
rnacentral:rRNA from 1 species